GAUCAAACACGUUUAAUUUUUCAAUCGGUAAUCAAAAUCAAAAUCAAGUUGAUCUAUGAAGAUUCUAGGAUGAGAUUGCUAGUUUCUGCAACAGAGGGUGAAUGAUUAUGGUCGCCUUCAUAAGUAACAAUUAGCAUCGAUGGAUCAUCUAAUGCUCGUUCCACGUGCUUCCGAGCUGGACAUCCUCUUACACUACUGCACUUGUAGUAACCCCUGUUCCAAUUAUGAUUCAAAACCAGACAAACAAAACAUGUUAGAAACUGAUCUCAAACUACCGACUUUGUUUAAAGAAGGAAAGAGUGAUUUAUUUUGUACCUGGGAUGUGGAGAACCCUUGAUUGGUUUUUGACCAUAUUUCCUCCAUGAGUAAUCAUCUGGUGGGAUAUCAGCCAGCUUCAGGCUUAUCGCCGGAACCCUUACAACCCUUUUCGAUCUCUGCUUUCUGUCCAAGACCAAACAUGAAAACACACCCCAACUCAUGUAAGAAAUUCAACAUAAUGAGAACUCUAAAAUUGAUAACUUUGUAUGAUGGGUAUGAAUAUAUGAUGUACCUUUUCUUAGAGCAAUGGCAGCGACCAGAAGAGCCGUUGCAUUUAGUCCCGGAACCCAAGUUCUCAGAGCUACACUUCCUCUUCAAAGAAGAAG